UGCGGCACAGGGACACAGUGGGCUCGACUCCCUCUGGGCUGACAGGCAAUAAAUGGCUGAGGAGCAGUCGCUCCUCCAGCUGAAUGCAGAUGACAAGGCUGAGGACAGCAAAGACUGCAAGGCCAGUCAACAGAUUGAUUUCUUUGUGGUUGCCUUUGUUAUUUUAAAAGUUAGUAUGUUAUGUGAGCACCAAGAAGCUCCUGCAGAGAUGGUGCUCAGCACUGGACAUGGACAUGUGGAGAGGAAACUGCAAAUGUCAUGAGGAAGACUGAGCUGCUCUGUGAUCCUGUCACCUGGAGAUCCAUGUGGCCAGAACCAGUGCUCCAAGAACCCACUGCUGAGCCUGUGCCCAUCCAGCAAAGUGGCUGCUGCUCCUUUCACAGAGAUCUGUAUGUGGGGAUCUGCAGGGGUAAUCAACCACUGAAAUAGCCCCCAGGUUAAUAUGCCCACAUUGUGCUUGGCUCUGUAUUUUUGGUGAAGAACAUAAUCAGCACUGGGUGUGUGAGUGUUGGGAAUGCAACAGGAACCUGAAAGUUUUUUGCUUUUAUUUUAGUAUGUGUCUAUAAUGUCAGUAUUUCAGUCUCAGAGGAUUUGCCUACCUGACUAUAGUUAAGAUCAUUAUGUUCUCUCACACAGAUCAUUGGAGUUUAGCUUUUUUGGGUAUCUUUCCUGAUCUAAGAAUUCAUUACAAGUCACUUUACACGGAAGGGAGAAAAGCAGCAGUUUGAAGCAGACUUCAGUCCCUUCAGAUCAAAGCCCAUGUCUUCUGAUGUGCCCACAGCACCUAACGGUGCCUAGUCCAGACUGAGAGUCGUGGUUAUUGCAGUGGGGUAUGGCACAGAACUGAAUAUCUGCUAUUUUUGCAUGCUUUAUUUAGUGCAUUUUCUAUGCAAACCACUUGGGUUCCUGUUUAUGUAUCAAACUCCCCACAGCAUGUUUGCCCCUUGUCAUGGCUAUCAUUAUUCCUGGUGAAGAGGAGUGUACUGCUCUCACUUUGUAGUUAACAGCAGGGACACCCCGCCAUCCUAGGGCUGUCUGG
rnacentral:lncRNA from 1 species